UGGUUGCAGGGGGGAGACAGGCUGCUUUCUCCACCCCGGCUCUGCGCCGACCUUGAGCCCAUCCAGUCUGUUUAAACGGCCGAGUCAAUGUAAAGGAAAGUUGCCUGACGUCACGCAGUGUGGGAGAAAGAUGGCCACGUUAACGAACGGCGUGCAGCAACAACAGCAGCCAGCAGUCAGUCUGAGCACCACCAUCCAGAUCAGCACUGCCAACGGGCCUAUGAACGGACUCAGCCACAGCCAGAACAGCACCAUCCCCAUGAAGGACCACGACGCCAUCAAACUUUUCAUCGGCCAGAUCCCCCGCAACCUGGAGGAGAAGGACCUCAAGCCCCUCUUUGAGGAAUUUGGCAAGAUCUACGAGCUCACGGUGCUGAAGGAUCGCUUCACUGGCAUGCACAAGGGUUGUGCCUUCCUAACGUACUGUGCCAGGGAAUCUGCUCUGAAGGCCCAGAGUGCAUUGCAUGAACAGAAGACCUUACCUGGGAUGAACAGACCGAUCCAGGUGAAGCCAGCGGACAGUGAGAGCAGAGGAGAAGACAGAAAAUUGUUUGUGGGCAUGCUGAACAAGCAACAGUCGGAGGAGGACGUACGCAGACUAUUUGAAGCUUUCGGUAACAUUGAGGAAUGCACAAUCCUUCGAGGGCCUGAUGGAAAUAGCAAAGGAUGUGCAUUUGUGAAAUUUUCCGCACAUGCAGAAGCCCAGGCAGCCAUCAACGCCUUACAUGGUAGCCAGACGAUGCCAGGGGCAUCUUCGAGCCUAGUGGUAAAAUUUGCAGACACUGACAAGGAACGCACAAUGCGUCGCAUGCAGCAAAUGGCAGGGCAAAUGGGAAUGUUCAACCCAAUGGCAAUCCAAUUUGGUGCAUAUGGUGCCUAUGCUCAAGCGUUGAUGCAGCAGCAGGCGACAAUAAUGGCAUCAGUUGCCCAGGGAGGUUACCUGAACCCUAUGGCAGCAUUCGCAGCAGCACAAAUGCAGCAGAUGGCAGCCUUGAAUAUGAACGGACUGGCAGCUACACCUAUGACACCAACAUCAGGCGGGAGCACGCCUCCUGGUAUCACCGCACCAGCUGUGCCUAGUAUUCCUUCUCCAAUUGGAGUAAAUGGAUUCACCGGCCUCCCACCACAGGCUAAUGGACAGCCAACAGCAGAAGCCGUCUUUGCCAAUGGCAUCCACCCCUAUCCAGGGUCAGCCCAUGAGUGGUCUCCAGAGGUCAGGCAGGACGUUUCAACCGGCCCGCGAUGUGCUCUUUUGUUAUUCACUAGAGCUGGCUCACCAGUCCUCCCAAUCGGUCAGACGGGAGAUGAAAACUCCAACCAGAUGUGGCACACAGUAAGCUCCGUCUGCACGCACGCACAAAGCCCAACUGCAGCUGAUCCCUUGCAACAAGCAUACGCUGGAGUGCAGCAAUACGCAGGUCCUGCCUAUCCUGCUGCCUAUGGCCAGAUUAGUCAAGCCUUUCCACAGCCACCUCCAAUGAUACCCCAGCAACAGAGAGAAGGUCCUGAAGGUUGCAACCUUUUUAUCUAUCACCUUCCUCAGGAGUUCGGAGAUGCUGAGCUCAUGCAAAUGUUCCUGCCUUUCGGUAAUGUCAUCUCCUCAAAAGUGUUUGUGGACCGAGCGACAAACCAAAGUAAAUGCUUUGGUGGGUACAGAUAAAAAAAAGUUCAAUUGCUAGUCUGUGAGAAAUAAUUUUAAAGACUAGAUUUUAUGUCACUACACUGAAAUAAUUAUGUCUAAACAAUGAGUCAUUGAAAAUUAUGAAGGAUUCUGCUCUUUUGUAGAUUAACCUUUAACCUUUCCCCUCAGCAACCCAGCUGAAGCUUUGACUAACAGUUCUGUUUUGCUGAGGGAAAUGGGAUUGAACUAUAUUUAACAUUGCAAUAGUCCUGCUUUGCUUUUAGAUUAUCGGAAACUCUUGUACGUAGAUGUGCAGAAUACUGUAUUUCCUUGAAUGGAGUAAGGUCCUUGAAUACUUUUUGUACAAACAGUCAAGGGUUAUAACUGAAAAAUUAAAAAAAAACCCCAAUGAACAAUCCAUUAUGUUAUGACUGAGAAAACUGUUUUGGAACAAGCACAAACCCCAGCCUGUAGUUGCAUUUGAAUAUUUUCUAGAACAGAAUAAAACAUGGGCUUUGUCACACAUGUUUCUGGAAUAUGACAGCUCUUGUUCUGGUGUUCUGUUUAUUGUUUUUUUCCAAAAGUGAACUGAAAACUUGCAACUGUGUCAUUGCUAUCUGCCAUGAGCCUAGAAAGGGAAUAGUAAUCUCAGUUUGGAUUCAGCACAGUUUUGACAAGAGACUAAUUGAUCACCUCUUAUAAAAGAAAAUUAUCUCUCCGAAAGAAGGUCUGAAUUAUUCAAGCCUGAGGCAGAAGUUAUGUCAUUGACUUAUUUUUAACUGUAUUGUUUCACAUUUUGCUAAACCUCAAAAUCUGAGAAAUUAAUAAUCCCAAAGUAACUAGAUUUAAAUAGUUGUAAAGGACCAAGGCCAGAUAACCACCAGAAUGGGUUUUGCAGACAGCAACUCUCUAUGCAUUUUCCAGUGGUAUUUUAGUGCUGUCUCCAUCAAACUUAUUAAUUACACAUACAGAUAAUAUCUGUUUUGUGAAAUACAGUCAGUUGGUUCAAGGAAAUAAGAUAUUUAUUGAUUAACCAGUAUACAGUGGAGUUCAAGAAAUAGUACACGUAAAAUACACAAUACUGUUGAUGAAGAUUGUAAAAAUCUAAGUUAAAAAUAAUGCUUGAAACUUUCAGAAAAGAUCCUGAACAGGAUCAAAGACUGUAAGUGGGUCCCACUGUAAACACCUCCACCAAUUUAAUGACCUAAUUAGUGAACAUCAAGUACAUUUUGUAGCAUCACAGAAUGACCAACUAUGGUGUGUAAAUGUAUUUAAUGCGGAGAGGAAUAUAAAUAAAAGAUAACAUCAAAAUAUUUCAUAAUUUAUACUGUUUCAUUAACAUCAAAAAUGCUAAGCGUAGUAUGUAACAUCAAAAAUGCUAAGCGUAGUAUGUUCAGUGGUUGAAUUCUCAAAAAUAAGUUCCUUCAAUGGUUUCCUUCACAUUUUAAGAUGUAUGUUUGUUAAACUGAGGAACAGAGAUUUUCAAACUGUGUUUUACUGUAACAUGGGAUUUCCAACACCUUUUUUUGUAUAUCAUCAUAUGGUACACAUGUCACUAAUAAAAAACAAUACAAAGAACCAAAGUCAUUUCCAACAAAUUAAAUGCUCUAUUGGUGUAUGCUACAAGUACUGACUUCAAACAAAUGUAACCUAAGAUCAAAGGUAAUGUUUGGCUUAUGUGGCAUUUUAAACUUUAUUCAAUGGAUAUUGCAAUUAUUCUUAAGAAAGACCAUCAAAGGUUGUUCAUCCCUGUGGCAUUCAAUUGAAUAUUGGUAUUCGCUGCUCGUAAAAAAGUAGUAACGUACAUAUCCAAAAUGUAAUAUUGUCAUUUUUCUCAAAAUUUCAAAAUAAGGACAAUAAUUCACUUGAUUCUUGUGCUUUACCAGUUCAUCUGAUUGCUACUGUUCAUGGGUUUCCCCUGAAGGACACAACAGUAUAUUUAAACCCUUUAAGGACUACAAUUGGGUUGCUGCAAUAAGUUCAAAAUUCAUGUAGGAACAGAACUGAUCCAGUUCUGAAUGAGCAAUGAGAUUCUACCCAAUUUUCUAUUUUAUAACAAUCCAUCUGCAGUGAUGUUGUAAUAAUUGAAAAGGUAUUAGUAUUUUUAAAUCAAAAGAUUCUUUUUAUGGUCCUCAAAGGGUGAUCACAUAAGUUUGAAUUGAUGGCUGAUAUUUACAGUGUUUAAGAAAUAAGGAGUGCAUUUGAAUGCAUAAUUUAGUUACUAAGCAUUAGAAUAAAGCUUAAAAAAUUCACAGCUGGAUAUUGCCUAUUUAUCUUGAAGGGUGUGCAGUGAUUUAACUUUGAAUCUGACUGACUAACAUGCAGGUUCCCAAGUAUUGUUUUAUUUAAAACAUUGCUUUACAUUUUGAUAAGAAUACACGAAAGUGACCUAUAACACAUGUUUUUAAAUUAUUGGCUUUCAAAUUUAGGUCACUGGACUCUAAGAAGAGAUUCAAAGGUUAUCAGAUUACUGUCUGUAUGCUAUAAAAUUUUGAAUUCCCUUGCCUUUGCUGUCUUGCCAGCAUGUUACUUCUGCUGAUGUAGAUUUAGAGAAGAUAUUUCUAGUGAUGGUAGCACUGAGCAGUCAGCAUACUCCUUCAGGGGUCAACACAUGUUUUCCCUUUGAGUAUUGUUGAAUUUGCAGAUGAAUAGUUUGAAAAUGAAUACAUUGAAUUGUUUUUAAAAACUACUGCCCCACCAGUUCAAAAGCUGACUUUGAUAGUUCAUCUGAGAUGAUGAGGAUUUUAAAUGAAAAUGAGCAAAAUAAUUUCUGCCAAUUAACAAGCAAAGUUUUCAUUCAAAAUACUCAUUUUCUCGGAUGCGCUAUUACAUAAGUAAAAUAAGUCUUCUCUCUCUGGCUAGAAGUUUCCUACCUUUAAAGAGGUGAAGAUGGUUCAAAUCAGUACUUCUAAACAAACAAUGGUCACAAUGUUAUAGAUUCAACAGUGGCAAAAGGGCAAAGAUUAAAGUAAGCUGGCUAUCCCAAUAUGGAACAAAUAAAUGCACCUUAUACUUGAAUUACAUUGUGUAAUAUUUGUGAUCUGACAUUAUAAUAAUUAGCAAAUAGUUCACAGCAGAGUCUCCUUUGAAGCCAUGAACCCUAUCACUAACAAGUUUUAAACUUUCACAAUGCAUGACUCUACAAGAGAUCACUACCUACUCACAAGUGUAUAGACUAUUUUAGAAGCUUUUCAUCUUGCAAUCAUGGGGACAUUUUUCAAGAAUACUAAAGAAGAAAACUAGAAAGACUAUGUACACACACUGCACCUGUUUCAACUCAACAUAAUAGUUGAACAUCAUCCAUCGAUUUCUUUCUAAGGCUGGCAGUUAACAGUCAAUAAUCAGUAACUGCUGCAUUCUCCAUGGCAAUAUCUCUAUCAAUCAGAUUCAUUUGGCAUCCAAUUAGCAUUUUCCUGUUAUCCAGCAUUAUAGUUGCUUCCUCUUACAUUCGUAUUUUUGUGAAUGUCCUGAUGUGUACAAGAUGAGAAUCUUUGAUAAAAUAUGUUUUUGCAGCAAUAUUCAAGUUUGUAUGACCAACCAACAUAUUAUUUUGUUUUUAAAAGCUACUAAUCCCUAUUUUCUCUUUUCCAUGUUUUAAUACUUGGGAAAAACCACUGAUGGUAACUUACAUUCUUAUAGUUUAAUUAAUCUCAUAAAAAUUGAUCAGUGGAUGAAAAUUUGCCAAUGAUACAGCGGUAGACAGCGUUGUGAGCAGUUUAGAUUGAAGCAUGCUAUUAAUCAGAGGUAUCAAUAGCUAAAGAGAAUGAGCAAAAUUGUAUAAAAUGAAUUUUAAUGAAGUCAAAUGUGAGGCUAUCCAUUUUGAAUAUAAAAAGAAUAAAAGACCACACUUUGUAAAUAAUGAAAUUCUAGAAUCACUGGAGAUCCAGACACCUGGGUCCAGUUUCAUAGAUCAUUUAAUAUCAUAAAUAGAGUUAAUGGAAUGCUAACCUUUAUAUUUAGACACUUCAAUAGAAGGACACAGAAAUCAUGCUUAAGUAAUACAAAUCCCUCGGUAGAUCACAGCUGGUAUUCUGGCACCCCUUUUUACAAAGGCUGUACAGGCUAUGAAUGGCCAUAGAUUCACCAGCAGUAUAUCUGGACUCCAAUGUUUAUAAUAAAAGAAGAGAUUCCACAAACUAAUCUUACAUUCCCUGGAAAUUGAGAAAUGUUAAGGAUUGAUUAAUCAGUAUUUUCAGAAUAUUAAAGGGAACUGAUAGGCUAUAGAGAGAAACGAUCGUCACUGAUUUGGGAUUCUUAGAUACAAGAUCCUGGUCUAAAUGUCAGGGAAGUGGAGCCAGGAAGCAAUUUUGCACAUUGGAACUCUCUUCCACGAACAGCAAUCCUGAUCCCUGCAGCACUCCUCAGGUUGCCAUCAGGAAAAUGACCCCUUUAUCUCAACUCUCUGUAUUUGAUUAUGUCAACAUUCUUCUAUCCAUAAUACAGGUACUAUAUCUUAUUACUCUUCCUGUACUUAGAUUCUUGACAGGAAUUCCUAUUUAGAUGUACCCCAAAAAUAAUCGAGCAAUUCUCCAAAAUGUCCAAAUGUGAGAGUAAACAGGAAAGAGCGUGGUUUUUGUUAGUCAUUCCUCUCUGGACUCUGACAUCUAAUCUCUCAAUUCUCUUUUGUCCUUUUUAUUGGUACUGUGGUGUGUCUCGCUGAGGUUACUAUGAAGGACUCCUCAACUCUUCCCUGGUCUAAGGCACAGGGACCCUCAUGUUUAAUCACCACCAGCAUUUCUCUCCAAUGAGAGAGCAGCCCUAAAGUCUGGUUUUGUGAGUUUUGACAAUCCUGCCAGUGCCCAGGCUGCCAUCCAGGCAAUGAAUGGUUUUCAGAUUGGCAUGAAGAGACUGAAAGUACAGCUCAAGAGGCC